GACGAACGCUGGCGGCGUGCCUAAUACAUGCAAGUCGAACGCAGUGGGGACGGGUGAGUAACACGUGGGUAACCUCCCAUCAGAGGGGAUAACACUUGGAAACAGGUGCUAAACCGAUACUGAUGGAUGGACCGCGGGGGCAUUAGCUAUUUGGUGAGGUACCGGCUCACCAAGGCCACGAUGACUAGCCGACCUGAGAGGGGGAUCGGCCACACUGGGACUGAGACACGGCCCAGACUCCUACGGGAGGCAGCAGUAGGGAAUCUUCGGCAAUGGACGAAAGUCUGACCGAGCAACGCCGCGUGAGUGAAGAAGGUUUUCGGAUCGUAAAACUCUGUUGUUAGAGAAGCGGUAUCUAACCAGAAAGCCACGGCUAACUACGUGCCAGCAGCCGCGGUAAUUC
rnacentral:rRNA from 1 species